UGUGAGAUCACUGAUCUAAGCCCAUUGGCUCGUUGUGGCAAGCCCUGCAGCUCAUGUUGAAAUUUCCGAGAAGCGUGCUGAGCAACUGACCAAUAACGACAGAGCGGAUCAGCAGACCAAUCAGAGCAGACUUGGCCCACGUGGGGUCUAACAGUGGGGGCUCAGCAGAUGUAGCUGACGGACUCAGAGCGUAGAGGGAGCAAGGAGGAGCAGUACAUGAAAACAGACACUUUUUUAGAACUUUAGCUAUUGUGAACGUACAAAAGUAGGUACAUAGAUUAAAUAUACAAACCCCAAAAAGGGCAUAAUAUGGGCUCUUUAAAAUAAGAGCACCACACUUCAAUUUGUCCACCUUCAAAAUAAAAGCACCACAUGCUGUAAUGUUUGGAAGGUGUUCUCCUCACCUGGCCUUACAAACCAAACUUGUGUGAAUCAGCUGCUCUGUAACGCUUCCUUCACAGCGUCACUUCUCACUCUGCUGAUAAUCUGCCAGCUCGCCAAACGUCUGUGUUCAAACUUUGACACGUUUGUGCAGAACGUUCUGGAAGUCAUAAAUAUCGCUCAAUCUACAUCGCCAUAUCUCAGCUCAUCACGCCGUACUGUUAACGCCAUCAACCUUUCCACAUGAACCAUGGAUGUGUCUGUGUGCGAGGAUAAAGUAGCCUCCGAUUGGACGCGAUUCGCUAGGCGAAGAAUCGAUCUGAUUGGAUGAAAGUGAAGACGUUAAAAAAAAAAAAGCGAGGUUUUUUCAUGGACCCUUUGUAGCGCUCUUCCUGUUUGUGUCGAUGUGAAACUAGCAUGGAGUCCAGAUGUAGUAGAGUCUGCUGUAGCCUGAGUGGAAAACAAACCGAAAGACGGUAGAUGAGUUCACUUCUCCUUUUGUCAAUAAAGUGUUUUUUAUCACUUCACAGAA